GAUGAACGCUGGCGGCGUGCUUAACACAUGCAAGUCGAACGGGAAACCUUUUAAUGAAGCUUCGGCAGAUUUAGCUGGUUUCUAGUGGCGGACGGGUGAGUAACGCGUGGGUAACCUGCCUUAUACAGGGGGAUAACAGUCAGAAAUGACUGCUAAUACCGCAUAAGCGCACAGGACCGCAUGGUCCGGUGUGAAAAACUCCGGUGGUAUAAGAUGGACCCGCGUUGGAUUAGCUUGUUGGUGGGGUAACGGCUCACCAAGGCGACGAUCCAUAGCCGGCCGGGGCGGGUGACCGGCGACAUUGGGAGUGCGACACGGACCAGAAUCCUACGGGAGGCAGCAGUGGGGAAUAUUGCACAAUGGGGGAAACCGUGUUGAAGCGACGGCGCGUGAAGGAAGCAGUAUCUCGGUAUGUAAACUUCUAUGAGCAGGGAAGAUAGUGACGGUACCUGACCAAGAAGCCCCGGCUAACUACGUG
rnacentral:rRNA from 1 species